UUCUUUCAGCAGAGGCAAUAUCAGUAGCCUAUGAGGUUUAUCUGAGGCGUGAUCGUUGCUGGUUGAAAACUUUACCCAAUACCCUGCUGGGAUGACUUGUAAUACAGUCAGCCUUGGCAAUUUUUGAUAGUUUCUUCAGAGA